rnacentral:lncRNA from 1 species
AAUGGUAUCCGAUAUUCACGGAAGAGAGGUAUGGUUACAGGUGUCUUGCAGCCCUACUCUCUUCGUAGACGUUCUGUGGACAGAUCAAGACCUUCACGGAAGAGAGGUAUGGUUACCAGUGUCUUGCAGCCCUACUCUCUGCGUAGACGUUCUGUGGACAGAUCAAGACCUUCACAGGAGAGCGGUGUUGUUACCAGUGUCUUGCAGCCCUACUCUCUGCGCAGACGUUCUGUGGACAGAUCAAGACCUUCACAGGAGAGCGGUGUUGUUACCAGUGUCUUGCAGCCCUACUCUCUGCGUAGGCGUUCUGUGGACAGAUCAAGACCUUCACAGGAGAGAGGUAUGGUUACCAGCGUCUUGCAGCCCUACUCUCUGCGCAGACGUUCUGUGGACAGACCAAGACCUUCAGAAAACAUGG